UGACCCCAGGAUGGGCGGGAUGACCCGCUGAGUUU
rnacentral:rRNA from 1 species